GGUAAUGAUAUGUUUGUGAGUUGAAUCUCAUGAAUAGGUUGAUUUAGGUCUAAUUUUAAUAAAACCCCAAAUUAAAUUGUGAUAUUAGCUCAUUACAUCUACUGGAACUAUUAUGAUUGAGCAAUCUAAGUGAAGGUCAAUGUGCACAGGGGAAUAUGGAACUCAUGGAGUUUUAACUUGAUUUAAGUUUUUGCUGUGUUUGGCUACCAAAUGGAGAGGAGGAAUCAUUACAGAUGACAGUUACAAUUAAUUUUGUUUCCUAGUUAAGAAAUAGAUGGAGAGGAGGAAUCAUUACAUGCUAUCAAUGAAUUAGAAAUAUUCAAAAUAGGAUAUACAAAAGUUCCUCGACUCAUGUGAAACUUCCUCAAACUGUAACAACCUAAAAUCAUAUAUUGGUUAGUCAUUGCUAAAUUAAUCAAUAAUAAUGUAAAGAAAUUAUACUAACAAUUAAGACAAAUUACCUUAUCUAGACCUCAUCAGCUUCAGACUUUGAUAUGGCUCCAUUCUUCAUUAGCAACUUGACCAAAUAAGACACAAAUGUUAGUCAAAAUAUAAUAGACAUAAAACCAAGAUUAAAGUGAACUUUACCAGACAUCAAAGUCGACCUCCUUUUCUUCUAUCAAUAGACCAAUCAUCUUCUCGUGCCCUUUUGAUGCAGCAAUAUGCUGUUUAUGUGUACUGAUGCAUAAAUUUAGUGUUAGCUUAAGCAAACCUAGACAUAACUUAUCUGUUCUAAAACAUAGAAAGGUACUAUUUAAACAAGCACUUUUGAAAUAAAUUAGUCCUUAGUUCAAGUUCAACAAGCUUUUUUUUAAACCUAAUGAAACUAUUUUGUGAACAUCAUGUAUGAAUAGCAUGUUUUGUGACUAUUAUCAUACAACACAAAAUUGUGCAUUGCAUUUGGCCAAAAUCAGACUGGAUUGAAAUCAAUGGAACAAAAAAUAAAAAAUUUUGUCCUACCAAAAUAAGUGAAAAUUGAGAUCAACUUACCAAUGAUGUCUUUCAAUAAUCUUUUAUGUUCACGUCAAUUUCUGCAAGGAUAGACUUGUCAUCAAAAUAAGCCAAGAGGUUGACCUUUGCAGCACGCUCACGACUAGUGAACAUCAUUUUUUGUUUCCGUCAUCUGAUACAACAUACAUGUUAGAAACGUAAAAGAAUUAGCAAUAGAGUUUGUUUGCUAAACUAUUUAUGUAGAAGCACAUUUUUUACCUUGGACAGGUUUUCUAAUACUAUUUUUUCUGAAUUAACACUAGUUGAUGAUAUUGGCUGUUUUAAAUUCAAUGUGGUUGAAACAGUUCACACAUUUCAAAUACUUAAAUCUUGUUCCAUCAAAGGGCAAUGUUCUUUACUAUGGUUGACAUUGUUGAUUAAGCAACAUUCAUAUGUUUCUAAACCUUAUUCCAACUCCAUUCUCUCUGUAUGUCCUAAAGUUAUUGGAUGUGAAAUGUAAUAGAGUCAAAAGUUUAAAUGUGUAACUCUAGGAAGUUAACUUGGUGUGGCUUAAUCACUUUCAUCAACAAACUUCAUUAGUGAUUGUAUAUGUUUGAGUAAUUUUUAAUCAAAGUGGUUGACCCUAACUCAUAUCUAAUUUCUGAUGCAGAUUGAAUCGAUUGUGGAUUCUUGUAUUCUGGUUAUAAAUGUGUCAGAUUUGUUAUCAAUAUUGAUAACCCCAAUAGAAUUUGCCUUCAUCGAGGUGUUACCUAAAAAAAAUAAUUAUCUGGAGAUAAAUGAGGGAUUUUUUCCCUUGAUAUGGUGUAAUUCUUGGAAGCCUGCAGUAAUCAUCAUGACAUGUCUCAUUGUACAAUGUUGAGACUAGUCCAUUUUACUAUAUAAUCGAAUAAUCUAUUCUUAUAAAAUUAUUGUUUUAACUUAUUUUAAUCUAAUUUAUUGUGAAUAAUUACAGGCUCACACUCUCUUAUUAUUUGCCAAAUCUCAUUCUCAUUGCAUGUCUUCCAUGUGUUUACCUCUUCCAUGUAUGUAUGCUCAGUUACUUGAUGAAAAGUUGAUAGUAUUUCUGUUUCCUUUUUUGUUGAAUAACAUAACACCAAAUUUAGUGUUAUACUAUUUGUUAACACAAAAUAUAGUGUUAUAGUUUCAUUAGGUACAAAACGGUUCUUCUAUUUUGAAUUUAUACAUUUGUAGUUUAUCAAAAGUUUUUAUAGUAUAAAACACAAUACAUAUUUACAUAAAACACAUAAUUGACAUAUAUUUCAAUUGAGUAAUAUAUAUAUAUAAAAUACUUUUCUCAAAAUAUAACCUGUAAAUUUGUUCUAAUAAACUUUAUAUAAGUCAAAGUUAGUAUAAAACAAAUAAAUAUAAGUUGUUGCAAAGAUUUAGUGUUUUUACUUUAUAGUAUGUUUUACAUUAUUUUUAUCAAUUUGGUGUAGAAGAUAGUUUUCAGGGUUGGAGAUUAUUAAAUGUAAACCAAAACAGUGAUUCUUAAACAAAUUUUUCUUAUGUUCACUUUAUAUAGAUUGUUACUAAGAAGAAUGUGUGCAUGUCAAAAUUCAGGCACUUUGUGAAAAAGAAAUAUGGAUGUGGAUCCUUCUAUUAAGGAUGCUACGUUUAGAAAGAGUGCAACUUUUUUUAUAGAGACCGAUGACAUUAUUGUUGGGUUUAUAUCCACACAAGCUAUAAAGAUUUGGGUUGUAAAAUUCAUUGUGUUUUCACUUGGGUGGUUGUGCAUUCUUUUAUUCAGCUAUUUUUAUGCUCCCUCGAAAUGAAGGAAAGACGUGGUUAGGGAGUUUAGCAUUGGGGGGUUUAGCUACUCUAAAUUUAGAGAUGUCGGAUUCUUGAGCCUUUAUCUUACAUGCUUGUAUUUCUCUACGAUAACUAUAAAAACAAUCGGUAAGUUCAAAACAAAACUAAAAUAUUUUGCUUAUUUGACCUAAGGUUAUAUGCAAAUAAAUUGAAUAAUAAUAUUGACUUUUUGCAUUUUUCUAAUAAUGUGAAUGUGGAUUUCUUUUCAGAUUAUGGAGGCAUUCAUCCCACAAGUGAGAUGGAUAUAAUAAUUACAAAAAAUGCAAAUAUUUUAGUUUUAUUAUUCAAUUUAUUUGCAUAUAACCUUAGGUCAAAUAAACAAAAUAUUUUAAUUUUAUUUUGAACUUACCGAUUGUGGUUGUAGUUAUUGUACACAAAUACAAACAUGUGAGAUAAAGCCUCAAGAAUCCGACAUCUUUGAAUUUGAAGACAUGCAAUGAGAAUGAUAUUUGGCAGAUAAUAAGAGAGUGUGAGCCUGUAAUUAUUCACAAUAAAUUAGAUUAGAAUAAGUUAAAACAAUAAUUUUAUAAGACUAAAUUAUUCGGUUAUAUAGCAAAAUGGACUAACCUCAACAUUGUAUCAUGAGACAUGUCAUGAUGAUUACUAUAGACUUCCAAGAAUUACAACACCAUAUCAAGGAAAAAAAUCCCUCAGCUAUCUCCAGAUAAUGUAUUUUUUUAGAUAACAUCUCGAUGAAGGCAAAUUCUAUUGGGGUUAUCAAUAUUGAUAACAAAUCUGUCACAUUUAUUACCAGAAUCCAAGAAUCCACAGUCCAUUCAAUCUGCAUCAAAAAUUAGAUACGAGUUAGGGGUCCACCACUUUGAUUAAAAAUUAUUCAAACAUAUAGAAUCACUAAUGAAGUUUGUUGAAGAAAGUGAUUAAGCCACACCAAGUUAACUUCCUAGAGUUAGAUAUUUAAACUUUUGACUCUAUACAUUUCACAUCCAACAGCUUUAGCACAUCAGAGAGAAUGGAGGUGGAAUAAGAUUUAGAAACAUAUGAAUGUUGCUUAAUCAACAAUGUCAACCACAUUGAAUUUAAAACAGCCAAUAUCAUCAACUAGAGUUAAUUUAGAAAAAAAAAAAAGCGUGUCCUCUUUUGUUCAAUCAACCACUUUGCUCAAAAUUAUAACCUAUUUCCACACCGUUACUGAGAACUUUUCAAAAACAGUUAAUAACAUAGGCAUAAAAGAUUACUAUAUCGAUUCCAAAUAAAAAAAAGUAAAGAAAAUGCACAUCAAAAGAGGGUUUAUGGAAUCAGUGGGGGUCGAGAGGAAAAAAAGGGUUAUUGUUAGUGUUGAAUGUUAAUAUUCAUUGUUUCCAUCUUUACUUCUUCACUAAUCAGUAAUGUGAUGAAAAAAAUCGAAUACCGAAAUCCAGUCUAAAAACUUACCUAGGGUGAAAUUUUGUAAUGAAGAAUGAGAAUCAGAGGCUGAGAGUUGUUAGCUUCCUGUCGAAGUGUCGACUUCGUUGUUGAAUGUAGAUGAGAAACAGGUGUGGUUCGGAGGAGGAUCAACGAAGAUUUAUCAACAGAACAGUGAAGAGAAGAGUGAAGAGUGCAAGAGUCAAAUAAGGUAAAUAUCAGGGAUAAUU
rnacentral:lncRNA from 1 species